rnacentral:rRNA from 1 species
AUUGAACGCUGGCGGCAUGCCUUACACAUGCAAGUCGAACGGCAGCACGGGUGCUUGCCCCUGGUGGCGAGUGGCGAACGGGUGAGUAAUACAUCGGAACAUGUCCUGUAGUGGGGGAUAGCCCGGCGAAAGCCGGAUUAAUACCGCAUACGAUCUACGGAUGAAAGCGGGGGACCUUCGGGCCUCGCGCUAUAGGGUUGGCCGAUGGCUGAUUAGCUAGUUGGUGGGGUAAAGGCCUACCAAGGCGACGAUCAGUAGCUGGUCUGAGAGGACGACCAGCCACACUGGGACUGAGACACGGCCCAGACUCCUACGGGAGGCAGCAGUGGGGAAUUUUGGACAAUGGGCGAAAGCCUGAUGCAGCAAUGCCGCGUGUGUGAAGAAGGCCUUCGGGUUGUAAAGCACUUUUGUCCGGAAAGAAAUCCUUGGCCCUAAUACGGUCGGGGGAUGACGGUACCGGAAGAAUAAGCACCGGCUAACUACGUG